UACGGAGGGUGCGAGCGUUGUUCGGAAUUACUGGGCGUAAAGCGCGUGUAGGCGGCCUUGUAAGUCUGGUGUGAAAGCCCGGGGCUCACCCCCGGAAGUGCAUUGGAUACUGCAAGGCUUGAGUACCGGAGAGGAGGGUGGAAUUCCUGGUGUAGCGGUGAAAUGCGUAGAUAUCAGGAGGAACACCGGUGGCGAAGGCGGCCCUCUGGACGGAUACUGACGCUGAGACGCGAAAGCGUGGGGAGCAAACAGG
rnacentral:rRNA from 1 species